AAGUCGAACGGCAGCACGAGAGCUUGCUCUUGGUGGCGAGUGGCGGACGGUGAGUAACGCGUAGGAAUCUACCAUAGCGGGGAUAGCCGGGAAACUCGGAUUAAUACCGCAUACGCCCACGGGGAAAGCCGGGAUCUUCGGACCGGUCACUAUUGGAGGAGCCUGCGUAGGAUUAGCUAGUUGGUGAGGUAAAGGCUCACCAAGGCGACGAUCCUUAGCUGGUCUGAGAGGACGAUCAGCCACACUGGAACUGAGACACGGUCCAGACUCC
rnacentral:rRNA from 1 species